rnacentral:lncRNA from 1 species
GCAGUAAGAGGUUCCGGUAUCCGGGCAUGAAAAUCCACGGACUUGGGUACAUUGGGCCAUGGAGCAAUCCAAUGACCCGUAAGUAGAAGAGAUAUUUGUAAUGAAUGUGGUGGAGGAGCAACCAGUGCAACCGGAGCAGGGUACCCAAGCAGCAUCAUUACUAGUGUCUAAGACCAUAUUCAUAACUUGACCCGGAGUACCCAAUUUAACCCGAACCACAUAGUUACCAAUGUUUAGAACUUGUUGACCUGGAGCAAUAGGUACAGCGGUGGUCAUUUGGGCUUGUAGACUUGACAAGUACUUUAGCCGUUGUGGGUCUUUAGUGGCCAUGUUAAUGACUGUAUUAAGCAAUGAGG